UUUAUUCAAAUUGCACUAUAGGCCCAAAAUCUAUUCUGAGAUAUCAUCCCAAACACAACCUAGUUCGUCUGCAUUCUGCAACGGUGCCAAUCCCACCAAACCAUUAAAAGGAUAAAAACCGGCGAGCUUCUCCGUCCACUCAGAGUCUUGCGGAAGGCGAGAGAUGAUUUCCCACAAAAUUAGUAAACCACAUUUUCUUUCUGAAUUAGCCUAUCCCUCAAAAGCUCCGGCGAGGCAGUUAUCUCCCCCGUCUCAUCCACUUCAAAGACACGCUAUCAAAACAAAAAAUGUAGGGUUUAAAGGCCUUAAACUUCUAGCAAAAUCCCAGAAGCUCAAUGGAGUCUAUAGAGCUUCAAGUUCAAACUCUGACUCUGCUGUAGUUUCAAAUGUCGGGGACGAAGAUGAAGCGUCCGUUCAGCUUUUCGAGAAAUUGAAAAAUGCUGAGAGGGAACGAAUAAAUAAGUUGGAACAACUGGAGAAUAAAGCCGAUAUGCAGCUUGAGAGGCAGCUUGUCAUGGCUUCAUGUUGGAGUAGGGCAUUAUUAACGAUGCAAGGGAAGUUGAAGGGCACAGAGUGGGAUCCUGAGAACUCGCACAAGAUAGACUAUUGCGAGUUUUGGAGACUUUUAAACUCGAAUAAUGUCCAGUUUAUGGAGUAUUCAAACUAUGGUCAAACGAUAUCUGUAAUUCUACCAUACUACAAAGAUGGAAAAACAGAAGAAUUGGAAGGAAAUUCUAAGAGGGAAAUUGUUUUCAGGCGCCAUGUGGUUGAUCGGAUGCCAAUUGAUUGCUGGAAUGAUGUUUGGCAGAAGUUGCACCAACAACUAGUAAAUGUUGAUGUUUUUAAUGUGGACCCAGUGCAUGCGGAAGUUUACUCUACUAUGGCAACUGCUGUCAUAUGGUCUAUGCGUCUUGCGUUGUCUAUUGCUCUAUAUCUCUUGAUUGAUAGUUAUAUGAGACCAAUUUAUGCCAAGUUAAUACCUUGUGAUUUGGGAACUCCCACAAAAAAACCAAGGCAGCCCUUGAAGCGCCAGGCACUUGGAUCUUUAGGCAAAAGUCGGGCUAAAUUCAUAUCAGCAGAAGAGACUACUGGUGUCACUUUUGAUGAUUUUGCUGGUCAGGAAUACAUAAAGAGGGAACUGCAAGAGAUUGUCCGAAUACUAAAGAACGAAGAAGAGUUUCAAAACAAAGGCAUCUAUUGCCCUAAAGGUGUUCUUCUUCAUGGGCCUCCUGGAACUGGUAAAACACUGCUGGCUAAAGCUAUAGCUGGUGAAGCAGGGCUUCCUUUUUUCGCUGCGAAUGGCACUGAUUUUGUAGAGAUGUUUGUAGGCGUUGCAGCAUCUCGUGUUAAGGAUCUUUUUGCUAGUGCCAGGUCGUUUGCACCUUCCAUUAUCUUUAUCGAUGAGAUAGAUGCAAUUGGUAGCAAGCGUGGGGGACCUGACAUUGGUGGGGGUGGUGCAGAAAGGGAACAGGGCCUGCUCCAAAUAUUAACUGAAAUGGAUGGAUUUAAGGUUUCAACUUCACAGGUGUUAGUUAUAGGUGCAACAAAUAGAUUGGACAUACUUGAUCCUGCUCUUUUGAGAAAAGGUCGUUUUGACAAGAUUAUAAGGGUUGGUUUGCCAUCUAAGGAUGGAAGGUUGGCCAUAUUAAUGGUGCAUGCUCGUAAUAAGUUCUUUCGCUCAGAAGAGGAAAAAGAGGCUCUUCUACAGGAAAUUGCAGAGCUUGCAGUAGAUUUUACUGGAGCAGAACUGCAAAAUAUACUGAAUGAAGCUGGCAUUUUAACGGCCAGGAAGGAUUUAGACUAUAUUGGACGGGAGGAACUUUUAGAGGCCCUGAAGCGGCAAAAGGGCACGUUUGAAACUGGUCAAGAAGAUAGUAGUGAGGUCCCAGAGGAAUUAAAGCUAAGGUUGGCAUAUCGAGAAGCAGCUGUCGCUGUUCUUGCAUGUUACUAUCCAGAUCCUCACCGUCCUUUCAUUGAGACAGAUAUUCGUUCCAUCCGUAGCCAGCCAAAUAUGCACUAUGCUGAAUCCUCAGGGAAGAUCUUUUCAAGGAAGUCAGAUUAUGUGAACUCUAUAGUGCGGGCAUGUGCUCCCAGAGUGAUUGAGGAGGAGAUGUUUGGGGUUGACAACUUGUGCUGGAUUUCUGCAAAGGCUACAUCAGAGGCUUCCAGGCUUGCUGAAUUAUUGAUUCUGCAGACAGGGAUGACAGCGUUUGGCCAAGCUUAUUAUAGAUAUGAAAGUGAUCUUGUACCGAAUCUUGCAGCAAAAUUGGACGCACUGCGAGAUGAGUAUUUGCGUUUUGCAGUGGUAAAGUGUUCUUCUGUGCUGCGGGAAUAUCAUUCGGCUGUUGAGACGAUCACAGAUAUUUUACUGGAGAAAGGACAAAUCAGUGCUGAAGAAAUAUGGGAAACAUACAAAAAGGCUCCACGAAUACCUCAGCCUCUUGUGCAUCCGGUUGAUGAGUACGGUGCACUAAUCUAUGCUGGACGAUGGGGCAUCCAUGGGGUUUCACUUCCUGGGAGGGUUACUUUUGCUCCAGGAAACGUAGGGUUUUCAACCUUUGGUGCACCCCGCCCUCUGGAGACCCAAAUCAUUAGUGAUGAGACUUGGAAACUAAUAGAUGACAUAUGGGAUAAAAGGAUCCAGGAAAUUAAGAAUGAAGUUUCUAUAGAGAUUGAGGAAGAUAAGGAGAAACCACAGCUUUUGAUGGCAGAUCACUUCCUUUGACAAUUUCAGUACUUACAUUUUGGGGGUUUAGCAAAUUUUCUACUUCAGAUGUUGGCCUUUGGUCGGUGCAAGACUGCAGGUCGUCUAAUCGGCCGGGUUCUCGAGUGCAGAGGUAGGUUUUAUUGUGGUGAUGGGGGGAUCUGAGUGGCUGCUCUAAAUAGCCUGGGGGUGGGGUUGAUUGAGAUUGGGCCAGGGGAGUUUUCAGUGUUGGUUGCCGCUCAUAUUAUCAAAACCAAUCCAUGAUAUUCCUUGUGCCGAGUCAUCUAUGUUCAAGGGCUCAUCCACAUGGACUGGAAAUUCUGGAAGUUGAAUGAAAAUAUCAUGUCACUUGCAGAUGACUCUGGGUGACUUGAUAAAUCUAACAUAGAAAAAGGUGUGGUACAGCUUGAUUUGGAUGGUAGAUGGUGCUCCUGAAAUUACAGAAGAAGAUUUGGUUCGUGAAUGUACAGUUCUUUCCAUCCUGUAAGGCUCUGAAGAUAGAGAUACAGUUCCAUCCACGAAGGCUUUGAAGAUUAAGAGUCCAGAGAUGACUAGACAUGAUUUGAAUCCCCCGAUGGUAAUUUUUUACAGUGAUGGCUCUUUGUGAUGCUUAUCGUCGUUCCUGAUACUUUUGGAACUGCACAGAAGAUCAAAACAUCCUCAAUUCAUGCACCUUUUAGUAACUGACAAUGGAGCUGCAAAAAAAUUGUUGGCCACCCAAUGCCAGAAAUGCAAAUUGGAGUUUUAUAACUCAAAAAGAAUUUUGUAUCAAAGCUUGUAUUGUUGUUAGGACUGUGAAGGAUGUAUGAGUAAUUGCAUUUUAUUUAUCUCCGGCCUGUAAUGCAUGCUAGUAUGUUGCGUUUUGAGUUAAACGUAUAUGUUAGCAGUAUUCACGUA